AGCAGCACAACUCAACACUUCAGCAAUUUGGUUAUGUGAACCUGUGAGACAAUUAAUCUCAAAGUUACAUUAAUGAAAAUGGUCUGACAGCUGGAAGAUCAGUCAUUGCUACAUCUGGAUUGUCCAUCUCUACCAUGUGAAAGUUACUCUUAAACCACAAAAUCCAUCGACUCCACAGACUGGGUGGAGCAAAGAAAGGGAUGGUGAAUGGAUCACUCCUGAGACAAUGCCUUCCAAACCCACUUCCAACUAGAACGACAAGGACAGCAGAUAAAUGGGCACCACCUGCAAGUUCCCCUCCAAGCCACUCACCAUCCCAACUUGGAAACAUAUUGCCGUUCCUUCAGUGUUGGUGUCAAAAUGCUGGAACCACCUCCAUAACAGCAUCAUGGGUGAAGAAGACAGCUCACCACCACUUUCUCAAAAGUGACUCGUGUAGGGUCACGAACUCUGGCCCAUCAGUCUGUGGAACAUGAACAUAAUCCUGUGUAUUUUCAAGGUACCUACAAAGGAUAUAAUCACCAAAGUAAGUGCGCAACAAAAGUUCAUGCGAUUGAUUCCUGAGAUGAGCGUAUUGUCCUGGAGGCA